rnacentral:tRNA from 1 species
GGGCGGAUGGCCGAGUGGUCUAAGGCGUUACGUUUAGGCCGUAAUCUCUUCGGAGGCGAGGGUUCGAAUCCCUCUUCGCUCA